rnacentral:rRNA from 1 species
UUAAGCGACUAAGCGUACACGGUGGAUGCCCUGGCAGUCAGAGGCGAUGAAGGACGUGCUAAUCUGCGAAAAGCGUCGGUAAGGUGAUAUGAACCGUUAUAGCCGGCGAUGUCCGAAUGGGGAAACCCAGUGCAAUUCGUUGCACUAUCGUUAACUGAAUACAUAGGUUAACGAGGCGAACCGGGGGAACUGAAACAUCUAAGUACCCCGAGGAAAAGAAAUCAACCGAGAUUCCCCCAGUAGCGGCGAGCGAACGGGGAGCAGCCCAGAGUCUGAAUCAGCUUGUGUGUUAGUGGAACGGUCUGGAAAGUCCGACGGUACAGGGUGAUAGUCCCGUACACCAAAAUGCACAGGCUGUGAACUCGAAGAGUAGGGCGGGACACGUGGUAUCCUGUCUGAAUAUGGGGGGACCAUCCUCCAAGGCUAAAUACUCCUGACUGACCGAUAGUGAACCAGUACCGUGAGGGAAAGGCGAAAAGAACCCCGGCGAGGGGAGUGAAAAAGAACCUGAAACCGUGUACGUACAAGCAGUGGGAGCACCUUCGGGUGUGACUGCGUACCUUUUGUAUAAUGGGUCAGCGACUUAUAUUCUGUAGCAAGGUUAACCGUAUAGGGGAGCCGCAGGGAAACCGAGUCUUAACUGGGCGUUAAGUUGCAGGGUAUAGACCCGAAACCCGGUGAUCUAGCCAUGGGCAGGUUGAAGGUUGGGUAACACUAACUGGAGGACCGAACCGACUAAUGUUGAAAAAUUAGCGGAUGACUUGUGGCUGGGGGUGAAAGGCCAAUCAAACCGGGAGAUAGCUGGUUCUCCCCGAAAGCUAUUUAGGUAGCGCCUCGUGAAUUCAUCUUCGGGGGUAGAGCACUGUUUCGGCUAGGGGGUCAUCCCGACUUACCAACCCGAUGCAAACUACGAAUACCGAAGAAUGUUAUCACGGGAGACACACGGCGGGUGCUAACGUCCGUCGUGAAGAGGGAAACAACCCAGACCGCCAGCUAAGGUCCCAAAGUCAUGGUUAAGUGGGAAACGAUGUGGGAAGGCACAGACAGCCAGGAUGUUGGCUUAGAAGCAGCCAUCAUUUAAAGAAAGCGUAAUAGCUCACUGGUCGAGUCGGCCUGCGCGGAAGAUGUAACGGGGCUAAACCAUGCACCGAAGCUGCGGCAGCGACACUAUGUGUUGUUGGGUAGGGGAGCGUUCUGUAAGCCUGCGAAGGUGACCUGUGAGGGUUGCUGGAGGUAUCAGAAGUGCGAAUGCUGACAUAAGUAACGAUAAAGCGGGUGAAAAGCCCGCUCGCCGGAAGACCAAGGGUUCCUGUCCAACGUUAAUCGGGGCAGGGUGAGUCGACCCCUAAGGCGAGGCCGAAAGGCGUAGUCGAUGGGAAACAGGUUAAUAUUCCUGUACUUGGUGUUACUGCGAAGGGGGGACGGAGAAGGCUAUGUUAGCCGGGCGACGGUUGUCCCGGUUUAAGCAUGUAGGCUGGUUGUCCAGGCAAAUCCGGAUAAUCAAGGCUGAGGUGUGAUGACGAGGUACUACGGUGCUGAAGUAACAAAUGCCCUGCUUCCAGGAAAAGCCUCUAAGCAUCAGGUAACAUCAAAUCGUACCCCAAACCGACACAGGUGGUCAGGUAGAGAAUACCAAGGCGCUUGAGAGAACUCGGGUGAAGGAACUAGGCAAAAUGGUGCCGUAACUUCGGGAGAAGGCACGCUGGUGUGUAGGUGAAGCCCCUGCGGGUGGAGCUGAGACCAGUCGAAGAUACCAGCUGGCUGCAACUGUUUAUUAAAAACACAGCACUGUGCAAACACGAAAGUGGACGUAUACGGUGUGACGCCUGCCCGGUGCCGGAAGGUUAAUUGAUGGGGUUAUCCGUAAGGAGAAGCUCUUGAUCGAAGCCCCGGUAAACGGCGGCCGUAACUAUAACGGUCCUAAGGUAGCGAAAUUCCUUGUCGGGUAAGUUCCGACCUGCACGAAUGGCGUAAUGAUGGCCAGGCUGUCUCCACCCGAGACUCAGUGAAAUUGAACUCGCUGUGAAGAUGCAGUGUACCCGCGGCAAGACGGAAAGACCCCGUGAACCUUUACUAUAGCUUGACACUGAACAUUGAGCCUUGAUGUGUAGGAUAGGUGGGAGGCUUUGAAGCGUGGACGCCAGUCUGCGUGGAGCCAACCUUGAAAUACCACCCUUUAAUGUUUGAUGUUCUAACGUUGGCCCCUGACCGGGGUUGCGGACAGUGUCUGGUGGGUAGUUUGACUGGGGCGGUCUCCUCCCAAAGCGUAACGGAGGAGCACGAAGGUUAGCUAAUCCUGGUCGGACAUCAGGAGGUUAGUGCAAUGGCAUAAGCUAGCUUGACUGCGAGCGUGACGGCGCGAGCAGGUGCGAAAGCAGGUCAUAGUGAUCCGGUGGUUCUGAAUGGAAGGGCCAUCGCUCAACGGAUAAAAGGUACUCCGGGGAUAACAGGCUGAUACCGCCCAAGAGUUCAUAUCGACGGCGGUGUUUGGCACCUCGAUGUCGGCUCAUCACAUCCUGGGGCUGAAGUAGGUCCCAAGGGUAUGGCUGUUCGCCAUUUAAAGUGGUACGCGAGCUGGGUUUAGAACGUCGUGAGACAGUUCGGUCCCUAUCUGCCGUGGGCGCUGGAGAAUUGAGGGGGGCUGCUCCUAGUACGAGAGGACCGGAGUGGACGCAUCACUGGUGUUCGGGUUGUCAUGCCAAUGGCACUGCCCGGUAGCUAAAUGCGGAAGAGAUAAGUGCUGAAAGCAUCUAAGCACGAAACUUGCCCCGAGAUGAGUUCUCCCUGAGACUUUAAGUCUCCUGAAGGAACGUUGAAGACGACGACGUUGAUAGGCCGGGUGUGUAAGCGCAGCGAUGCGUUGAGCUAACCGGUACUAAUGAACCGUGAGGCUUAACCUU